rnacentral:ncRNA from 1 species
UUGCCCGGGGGAGCCUGCGGUUCAGGCUGAGAGGAGGCGACAAGGCCUCGACCCUUCGAACCUGAAACGGAUCAUGCCGGCGCAGGGAGCGG